CAAUAUAUAUAUAUAUAUGUGUGUUUCAGAAUGCGCAAAUUUUCGUUACCUGAUAUAUACAAUUUUACACGCCACGUUUAUAUAUGUGAGGCCAUUAUAUGAUCUGACUUUCGAAUUAACACGAUUAGUCACAAUGAAAUGUUUUAUUGUUAUCUCUGCUUUCAUUGUUGGUAAUAUACGGAAAAUUAUUUCAGUAGUGUAUCACUAUUGAAUAACUCAAAAAGAAAAUGUGAAAUUUGUAGGUGUUACAACGCUACACAUUUGUUUUGAUAAAGCCAGCGUCCGGUGCCCACAUGCCAUUAAAAUGUAUCCUCUACGUGCACCAGACAUGUACUUCUGCAGACGGAUGCUUGCAAAUUACAAAUGUUUUGAAAAAAUAUCCGAUGAAUGCAGUAUUCGUUUCAAAAAUAUCUAUAUGAGAGCGUGCCGUUGUAUAGAAAUGUCCAUCAAAUUCAAGACUGAACGAGAAAUAUAUUUUGCAUCCAGUAAUACCAUUUCACAAAAUGUCUUACUGAUACUUAUUAUAUCGUUCUUGUUGUAAUAGAAGAGAAACACAUUUAUUUAUUUAUAGCGCUAAAUAGAUUUACAUUCUUCAUUGGUCUCGAUGUGACAGAGGCGUGAAGAUCUCAAUAAGAUCACAUUUCAAACAAUGAGACAUACUUUCGGAAAACAUACUGAAGUAAAAGUAUAUGUGGCUA